AGAUGAAAAACUGACUUUUGAGGGAGAGGUUUGCAUCUGUGGAGGAAAUGAAGUGAAGUAAACAACAGAUAGAAACAGGCUUUCUUUGAAGCCCCCCUUGUUGGGACCUGGGAAAGAUGAAUUGAGAGUCUGACAAUUUAAAGCUCUGACAGAAAUAUUUACUGCUGGCUACGAUUUAUUUUUUUCUGAAGGCUGCUACCUGUGAGGUUUCAUCUGCAUAGUUGCUAACUUUGGAGGAAGCCAGCUGCCAUGUCACAAAAAGAUUCAGGAAGCCAUGUGGAGAGGCCCACAUCAUGAGGAACUGAGGUCUUUGCCAAUUACCAGCAAGGAAAUGAGGCCUCCUGCCAACAGCCACGUGAGUAUCCUACCUUGGAAAUGGACCCUCUAACUUCAAUCAGCCUUCAAAUAACUGCAGCCCCAGUUGAUGGCUUGACUGCAACCUUAGGAGAAACCCUGAGCCAAAAACAUUGAGGAAAAACACCCCCAGAUUCCUAUCAGAAAUUGUGUAAGAUAAUAAAUGUUUGUUGUUUUAAGCUGCUAAGUUUUAGGGUGAUUUGUUAUACAGAAGUAGAUAACUAAUACAGAGACAGAAGAAUUACUUUUGGGAGGGUUUGAUCAUUCUGGGCCUGCAAGAAGCCUAAACUGCUUCCUACCCCUUUGUACUGAUGAGAGCUGAGGCACAUGGUCACACCUAAGAAGCUAACUGCAAGAGCACCUGGGAAAUACAGUCUAGCCAAGUGCCCAGGAGGAAGGAAACACUUUGAUAAAUAGCUGGCCAGUCUUGGCCACAUUCAGUGAGUUUAUAUUUGGGAAUGUUUGGACCACAAGAAUCUGGUGACUAUUUAUUCCAAUUCAGACAAGAUUCUUAGAGGAAAUAGGUAAAGUCUUUGACAUAGUCUCUUUUCGAGAAUGAUGCCAAAAAUGGCUGGAGUUUGUCUAUGUCUUUGGUUUGUCUAAUUUAGUAGUGCUGUCAUAACAACAGCAGCAGCAGCACCGCUACUGACAACUAACAUUCAUUGAACACCCAGGCAUUGU
rnacentral:lncRNA from 1 species